rnacentral:lncRNA from 1 species
GCUGGUGAUUUCCUCUUCUCGAUUGCUGUUUCUCUAAGGCGUUUAAUUAUUAAAUUUCGAUAUUAAUUUAAGGGUGGUAUUGCUUUGAUUUUAAGAUUCCCAAUCUCAAGACACAAGAGAGCACAAAUAUGCUAGAGUUUUGUCGGCAACCGAUGAGCAUGAUCAGUCUCAACCGGAUGCUGUCAUCAAAAGGGUCACUGAUACUACCAAUGCUAAGCAUGAAUCGAGAAAUGAUGGCACGGAUACCAAGCCCAAGGAUCCGAAGUCC